CCUUUAAACCUGUUUUGUUAGCCCCCAAAUUGCUUUAGUUUUUCCCCAAAUCAGAUUUCCCCCCAAAUUUUCCCAAAUCACUUUAUUUCUUCCCCAAUUUCUUUUCCCCAAUUUCCCCUAACUGAUUGAGAUCCCUAACUGUUUUCCCCAAAUUCUCAUCGCCAAUUCUCAUUGCCGUUCUCUUCACCAAAACCAAAAAAAUUCUCAUAAGUUUUCAUUUCAUCGCCGUUCUCUUUUUCCCCAAUUCUCAUCGCCGUUCUCUUCGCCGAAAUCAAAAAAAUUCUGAAGAAAAUAUGCAGCAGCCUCCACAGUUGAUGAACAUCACCACUGAGCAUAUUCAAAAGGUACGAGCCCAAUACCAUUGAUCUAUCAGAUCACAAAGAGCUAGAGUACUGGUUCACUGUGCUUUCGGAGCACUUGCCUGACCUUGUUGAUAAGGGCUAUUGCUGAGCUCCAAAUUAUCUAUUUCGUUCUCUUUUUUGAUCAGACUGAAUUAAGCAGGCCAAAGUUUGUAAAGCGUAAAUAUGUUCAAAGUAGUUAUAUAAUGAGAAAAAGUUCUUUUAUAUGGGGCAUUGUCGAUGGUUAGAUGGAAAUCAUAGAUUUAAAUUUUAGAGGACUCUAUUUGAUGGUACUGAAAAAUUCAGAGAAGCUCCUGAGCAGACUAUUGGAUUUGAAAUCUUGUUCAUAUUAAAAGAUAUUAAUUUCAGUUAUGGGAAGAUGAAUCAACCAUCCAACAUGCAAAUAGAGAGAAGAUCGAGGGAUGAAUCUGAUGAUAAAUCUAAUGAAGAGGAUCCUAAUGAGGCGGACUUGUGAAAAAAAAGAAGUAUUUUUUUUAGUUGCCUUAUUGGGAGUACUACAUUUUAUUCCAUAAUCUUGAAGUCAUGCAUAUUGAGAAGAAUGUUUGCGAGAAUAUCAUUGUAACACCCCAAUUUUCGGGAAUCCUAUGAAUGCUGGCAUAGGUUUAAUUAUGUUAGUGGGCCUCUAGAAAGCCCAAACUUAAGAUAGAACCCAAAAAUUUUAGUUAAUUUUUGUUCCAUAAGAAAAAAGGGGUGAAAUUAUGACAUAGGAUCUAUGUGAAAAUGUUUGAAAAUGCUAUAGGCUAAAUUGAAGUGGCCAAAUAAAUAGGAGUGCAAAAUAGGAGGAUUUGCAUGACAAACCUCUCAUUUUACAAGAAGUGGCCAGCCAUCAUGUUGUUGUAGACAAAAUGUACACUUGAUAUCCAUAAUUUAUAGUACAAAUUGAUACAAA